rnacentral:rRNA from 1 species
UACGGAGGAGGCAAGCGUUAUCCGGAAUUAUUGGGCGUAAAGCGUCCGCAGGUGGCUAUGUAAGUCUGCUGUUAAAGAGUGAGGCUCAACCUCAUAAGAGCAGUGGAAACUACAUGGCUAGAGUGCGUUCGGGGCAGAGGGAAUUCCUGGUGUAGCGGUGAAAUGCGUAGAUAUCUGGAGGAACACCGGUGGCGAAGGCGGCAUUCUGGACCGAUAUUGACGCUGAGGAGCGAAAGCCAGGGGAGCAAACGGG